rnacentral:lncRNA from 1 species
CACAGGUCAUUUCAAAAUUAAUAUGUGAUCUUCCCAGUAAGUGUUAAUCUUAAAAACUGAAAAUGCAAUGACUUGCUUAUAUGAUAAUUCACACUUCAUCAUUAUUACUUCAAUGAGAGGGCACCCAUAAAUAUGCAAGUAUUCUGAAGUAUUUCAGUUACAUGAAAUCACAGGCAAAUUGCAUCUGCCAUUCACAUAGUAUCAGUCUUCACUCAGUUUUUAUCUGAUUUUAAUCUUAAUUGCCCUCUGUCACAACAGACUGCAUGUCUAAAAUGUGUAAACUAUGUUAUCUUGCAAAUUUAUAAACAUAAAAACAUACUGUCCAAGUUUUCC